rnacentral:misc_RNA from 1 species
UUGCGGCUGGAUCCCCUCCUUACCUGAAAGAACCUGCCUUUGUAGUGUCCACACAGAUUGUCUGAUGAAUGAUGAACUUCUGAAUGUACUUUCGAGUGCAUUAAGAAGUUUUGCUCUUUAAAAAUCUGGAUCAAGCUGAAAAUUGAAACGACACACUGCGUCUGUUCUCCGUAAUAAGAACAGAGUGACGGUGUGUUCGAGUCUCUCAAAUUUUCGCGACACGAGGGUGUUUUACGAAACAUCUUCGGGUUGUGAGGUUAAGCGACUAAGCGUACACGGUGGAUGCCCUGGCAGUCAGAGGCGAUGAAGGGCGUGCUAAUCUGCGAUAAGCGUCGGCGAGGUGAUAUGACCAGUUUG